rnacentral:rRNA from 1 species
CGUUUAUUUGAUAGUACCUUACUACUUGGAUAACCGUGGUAAUUCUAGAGCUAAUACAUGCUGAAAACCCCAACUUCGGGAGGGGUGUAUAUAUUAGAUAAAAAACCAACGCCCUUCGGGGCUUCUUGGUGAUUCAUGAUAUCUUUACGGAUCGCAUGGCCUUGCGCCGGCGACGGUUCAUUCAAAUUUCUGCCCUAUCAACUUUCGAUGGUAAGGUAUUGGCUUACCAUGGUUUCAACGGGUAACGGGGAAUUAGGGUUCGAUUCCGGAGAGGGAGCCUGAGAAACGGCUACCACAUCCAAGGAAGGCAGCAGGCGCGCAAAUUACCCAAUCCCGACACGGGGAGGUAGUGACAAUAAAUACUGAUACAGGGCUCUUUUGGGUCUUGUAAUUGGAAUGAGUACAAUUUAAACCUCUUAACGAGGAACAAUUGGAGGGCAAGUCUGGUGCCAGCAGCCGCGGUAAUUCCAGCUCCAAUAGCGUAUAUUAAAGUUGUUGCAGUUAAAAAGCUCGUAGUUGAACCUUGGGUCUGGCUGGCAGGUCCGCCUCACCGCGUGUACUUGUCCGGCCGGGCCUUCCUUCUGGAGAACCUCAUGCCCUUCACUGGGCGUGUUGGGGACCAGGACUUUUACUUUGAAAAAAUUAGAGUGUUCAAAGCAGGCCUUUGCUCGAAUACGUUAGCAUGGAAUAAUAGAAUAGGACGUGCGGUCCUAUUUUGUUGGUUUCUAGGACCGCCGUAAUGAUUAAUAGGGACAGUCGGGGGCAUCAGUAUUCAAUUGUCAGAGGUGAAAUUCUUGGAUUUAUUGAAGACUAACUACUGCGAAAGCAUUUGCCAAGGAUGUUUUCAUUAAUCAGUGAACGAAAGUUAGGGGAUCGAAGACGAUCAGAUACCGUCGUAGUCUUAACCGUAAACUAUGCCGACUAGGGAUCGGGCGAUGUUCUUUUUCUGACUCGCUCGGCACCUUACGAGAAAUCAAAGUUUUUGGGUUCUGGGGGGAGUAUGGUCGCAAGGCUGAAACUUAAAGAAAUGACGGAA